rnacentral:tRNA from 1 species
UCCGGGGUAGCUCAGCUGGCAGAGCAGGUCGCUGUUAACGAUCUUGUCGUGGGUUCGAUCCCCACCCCCGGAGC